UGGCGGCAGGCCUACACAUGCAAGUCGAGCGGUAACAGGAAAGCGCUUGCGCUUUUGCUGACGAGCGGCGGACGGGUGAGUAAUGUCUGGGGAUCUGCCCGAGGGCGGGGGAUAACCACUGGAAACGGUGGCUAAUACCGCAUAAUGUCGCGAGACCAAAGUGGGGGACCUGAAAGGGCCUCACGCCGUCGGAUGAACCCAGAUGGGAUUAGCUAGUAGGUAGGGUAAAGGCCUACCUAGGCGACGAUCCCUAGCUGGUCUGAGAGGAUGACCAGCCACACUGGGACUGAGACACGGCCCAGACUCCUACGGGAGGCAGCAGUGGGGAAUAUUGCACAAUGGGCGCAAGCCUGAUGCAGCCAUGCCGCGUGUAUGAAGAAGGCCUUCGGGUUGUAAAGUACUUUCAGCGGGGAGGAAGGGUUCAGCUUGAACAGAGCUGGAUUUUGACGUUACCCGCAGAAGAAGCACCGGCUAACUCCGUGCCAGCAGCCGCGGUAAUACGGAGGGUGCAAGCGUUAAUCGGAAUGACUGGGCGUAAAGCGCACGCAGGCGGUCAAUUAAGUUAGAUGUGAAAUCCCCGGGCUCAACCUGGGAAUGGCAUCUAAGACUGGUUGGCUGGAGUCUCGUAGAGGGGGGUAGAAUUCCAUGUGUAGCGGUGAAAUGCGUAGAGAUGUGGAGGA
rnacentral:rRNA from 1 species